UACAGAGGGUGCGAGCGUUGCCCGGAAUCACUGGGCGUAAAGGGCGCGUAGGUGGCGACCCAAGUCUGUGGUGAAAGCUCGCCGCUUAACGGCGAGUCGGCCACGGAUACUGGGUGGCUCGAGCACUGUAGGGGCAGAUGGAAUUCCGGGUGUAGCGGUGGAAUGCGUAGAGAUCCGGAAGAACACCGGUGGCGAAGGCGGUCUGCUGGGCAGUAGCUGACACUGAGGCGCGACAGCGUGGGGAGCAAACAGG
rnacentral:rRNA from 1 species